rfam:Triticum aestivum genome assembly, contig: Triticum_aestivum_CS42_TGACv1_scaffold_003606_1AL
CACCUACUCCCUCCGUUCCGAAUUACUUGUCGCACGUAUGGAUGUAUCUAGAUGUAUUUUAGUUCUAGAUACGUCCAUUUCAACGACGAGUAAUUUGGGAUGGAGGGAGUAGGUA